CGUGGAACUUCCAGGCAGGGCACGGGGGCACAGUAGGAGGAUCCCAGAAGAUGCUGCCUCUCCUGAUCAUCUGUCUGCUGCCCACCAUCGAAGGGAAGAACUGCCUCCGCUGCUGGCCGGAACUGUCUGCCUGGAUAGACUACGACCUUCAGAUUCUCUGGGGGACCCCGGGGCCACCCACAGAACUUUCUCAAAGCGUUCACUCUCUGUUCCUAGAGGAUAAUAAUUUUCUCAAACCCUGGUACCUUGAUCGUGACCAUUUGGAAGAAGAAACAGCCAAAUUCUUCACUCAAGUACACCAAGCCAUUAAAACAUUACGAGAUGAUAAAACAGUACUUCUGAAAGAGAUCGACAUGCACAAGAAUCUCUUCACUGCGAGGCUGAAUAAGAUAUCUGAUGGGCUGAAGGAGAAGGACCCCCUUGGCUGUGUCUGCCUCCCCAACACCUCAGUUUCUCUACCUUCUCACCCCUGGCAGCCUGCAAUGAGUCGUGUGACAUACGGUCCACACUGAAGGUCACCAGCUGUGCCGAUUGCAGGACUUACUUCCUCUCCUGCAAUGACCCCACUAUCUGCCUAGGCAGGAACCGGCGGAUGUCCCUGUGGGCUGUGAGUCUCAGCAGUGCUCUGCUCCUGGCCAUAACUGGAGAUGUUUCCUUUACUGGCACAGCAAGAAGACAGUGAAGCAGGAACAGGGCAGCCCGCAUGUCCUCCAGAAGUGAACAGAGGCCGCAGCUGCCGUCAGGAAGUUCACUCAUCUCUGGGUCCCGGUGACCCCCUCCCCUGACACCUUCCAUCCUGGGUCCUGGGGCCCCAAAGCUCUGAGGCCUAGGAGACGACACUGUCUCGUGGUUUGCCUACACUCACACCUUUGUAAAGAGUCUCUUCAUUAAAACCCCUCCUCAUAGCCUA